UUACGGCCGUAUCACGUUGAAACAGCGGUUCUCCUACGAUCACCGAAGUUAUGCAAAAUCGGGCUUGUUCACUACCUAGAUGAGUGACUACUUGAGAAUACCAGAAGCUGUAAG